rnacentral:rRNA from 1 species
AACGAACGCUGGCGGCAUGCCUAACACAUGCAAGUCGAACGAGAUCUUCGGGUCUAGUGGCGCACGGGUGCGUAACGCGUGGGAAUCUGCCCUUUGGUUCGGAAUAACAGUUGGAAACGACUGCUAAUACCGGAUGAUGACGAAAGUCCAAAGAUUUAUCGCCAGAGGAUGAGCCCGCGUAGGAUUAGCUAGUUGGUGCGGUAAAGGCGCACCAAGGCGACGAUCCUUAGCUGGUCUGAGAGGAUGAUCAGCCACACUGGGACUGAGACACGGCCCAGACUCCUACGGGAGGCAGCAGUGGGGAAUAUUGGACAAUGGGCGAAAGCCUGGUCCAGCAAUGCCGCGUGAGUGAUGAAGGCCUUAGGGUUGUAAAGCUCUUUUACCCGGGAUGAUAAUGACAGUACCGGGAGAAUAAGCUCCGGCUAACUCCGUGCCAGCCGCCGCAGUAAGAC